AGCAUGGUCUUAGCUUGCUAAGGCCGAUGGCGACCGGCGCACGGGUGAGUAACACGUAUCCAACCUGCCGUCUACUCUUGGACAGCCCUCUGAAAGGAAGAUUAAUACAAGAUGGCAUCAUGAGUUCACAUGUUCACAUGAUUAAAGGUAUUCCGGUAGACGAUGGGGAUGCGUUCCAUUAGAUAGUAGGCGGGGUAACGGCCCACCUAGUCUUCGAUGGAUAGGGGUUCUGAGAGGAAGGUCCCCCACAUUGGAACUGAGACACGGUUCAAACUCCUACGGGAGGCAGCAGUGAGGAAUAUUGGUCAAUGGGCGCAGGCCUGAACCAGCCAAGUAGCGUGAAGGAUGACUGCCCUAUGGGUUGUAAACUUCUUUUAUAAAGGAAUAAAGUCGGGUAUGUAUACCCGUUUGCAUGUACUUUAUGAAUAAGGAUCGGCUAACUCCGUGCCAGCAGCCGCGGUAAUACGGAGGAUCCGAGCGUUAUCCGGAUUUAUUGGGUUUAAAGGGAGCGUAGAUGGAUGUUUAAGUCAGUUGUGAAAGUUUGCGGCUCAACCGUAAAAUUGCAGUUGAUACUGGAUAUCUUGAGUGCAGUUGAGGCAGGCGGAAUUCGUGGUGUAGCGGUGAAAUGCUUAGAUAUCACGAAGAACUCCGAUUGCGAAGGCAGCCUGCUAAGCUGCAACUGACAUUGAGG
rnacentral:rRNA from 1 species